AAAUUGGUGUCAAAUGAUGUCGAUACACUUCAAGCGGAUCAGAAGUUGGAAAUCGGUGUCUUUUUUUACUGGGCUCUAGGCGACAGGUGGAUAUAAUGUGAUCUCAGGAAUUUUGGGAGAGGUACAGCAAGGAUCAUGAAGUGCAGAUACAUUGAAUUGCUUCUGAAUAUAUUUAUCCGGAUAGACACAAGAGAUAUGCAGCCGACUUGCCUUGGGAGAGAAAAGAGAACUGGUCUAUGACAUUGCUCAAUAUGGCCAAAAAAUGCCAGAGAGAUUCUUAGCUCAGCUAGCCGCAGGGAGCUUCUUGAAAUCUGGGUUUGCUAAAUUUCCAAUGAUAUAGCAUCUACAAAAGUUGGUUCUCAAACUCACCAAUUAAAAUUUGGUUGUAUUUGUUUCAAUUACUUAUUGUGCAUGCUGUUAGACUUUCAUUCUCCAAUAACAUCAAUUUAAAUUUUCUUCCAUCUCCUA